rnacentral:rRNA from 1 species
GAUGAACGCUGGCGGCGUGCCUAAUACAUGCAAGUCGAGCGAACGGACGAGAAGCUUGCUUCUCUGAUGUUAGCGGCGGACGGGUGAGUAACACGUGGAUAACCUACCUAUAAGACUGGGAUAACUUCGGGAAACCGGAGCUAAUACCGGAUAAUAUUUUGAACCGCAUGGUUCAAAAGUGAAAGACGGUCUUGCUGUCACUUAUAGAUGGAUCCGCGCUGCAUUAGCUAGUUGGUAAGGUAACGGCUUACCAAGGCAACGAUGCAUAGCCGACCUGAGAGGGUGAUCGGCCACACUGGAACUGAGACACGGUCCAGACUCCUACGGGAGGCAGCAGUAGGGAAUCUUCCGCAAUGGGCGAAAGCCUGACGGAGCAACGCCGCGUGAGUGAUGAAGGUCUUCGGAUCGUAAAACUCUGUUAUUAGGGAAGAACAUAUGUGUAAGUAACUGUGCACAUCUUGACGGUACCUAAUCAGAAAGCCACGGCUAACUACGUGCCAGCAGCCGCGGUAAUACGUAGGUGGCAAGCGUUAUCCGGAAUUAUUGGGCGUAAAGCGCGCGUAGGCGGUUUUUUAGUCUGAUGUGAAAGCCCACGGCUCAACCGUGGAGGGUCAUUGGAAACUGGAAAACUUGAGUGCAGAAGAGGAAAGUGGAAUUCCAUGUGUAGCGGUGAAAUGCGCAGAGAUAUGGAGGAACACCAGUGGCGAAGGCGACUUUCUGGUCUGUAACUGACGCUGAUGUGCGAAAGCGUGGGGAUCAAAUAGGAUUAGAUACCCUGGUAGUCCACGCCGUAAACGAUGAGUGCUAAGUGUUAGGGGGUUUCCGCCCCUUAGUGCUGCAGCUAACGCAUUAAGCACUCCGCCUGGGGAGUACGACCGCAAGGUUGAAACUCAAAGGAAUUGACGGGGACCCGCACAAGCGGUGGAGCAUGUGGUUUAAUUCGAAGCAACGCGAAGAACCUUACCAAAUCUUGACAUCCUUUGACAACUCUAGAGAUAGAGCCUUCCCCUUCGGGGGACAAAGUGACAGGUGGUGCAUGGUUGUCGUCAGCUCGUGUCGUGAGAUGUUGGGUUAAGUCCCGCAACGAGCGCAACCCUUAAGCUUAGUUGCCAUCAUUAAGUUGGGCACUCUAAGUUGACUGCCGGUGACAAACCGGAGGAAGGUGGGGAUGACGUCAAAUCAUCAUGCCCCUUAUGAUUUGGGCUACACACGUGCUACAAUGGACAAUACAAAGGGCAGCGAAACCGCGAGGUCAAGCAAAUCCCAUAAAGUUGUUCUCAGUUCGGAUUGUAGUCUGCAACUCGACUACAUGAAGCUGGAAUCGCUAGUAAUCGUAGAUCAGCAUGCUACGGUGAAUACGUUCCCGGGUCU